CAAACACCAAAAAGAAGUAAGUAAGCAGAAUAGUUGGAUCAAUUGGCUAACAAAACUUUUAUUCAAAGAGCAAAAAUGUAAACUUAUAAUGGGAAAAAUCCCACCGUUGUAUGUUUUCUUUCAACCAUGACUUCACAUUUUAGCCAAGUUUGUUUUGAAAAGAAAGAAGGGACAAGGGCAGACCAAACUGUUCUCUUCAAGUUGGGUAUGUUCUGUUCAUUAAAAGACCAUUACGGUGUUCACUGAAAAAGUCAGGCUGAAUAGUAUGAUAACAUCUUAAUAACAAGAACAAACAGAAUUAUAUAACCUUGUUUCAUAGCGAAAUGAAGGCAACAUAACAAACUAUUAGGGCUGAUUACUCCAGGAGAGUGACAGCUGCAGCAUAUUAGGGACAGGCAUCAAAGUGCAUUUUUCUUUUUUCUUUGGCAUACUUUGUAGAUCUAUAUUAACAUGGGAACUUAUUUUUUAAACAUAUUUACAAGACAUUAAAGAACAUGUGUAAGUGCAAGAAAACUUUCUUCACGACGGCUUUCACUGGCGCAUUUGAUAGUCAAGAUCUCCCUUCUGAGGUCAGGAUGAAAAUGGAGGUCGUAGAGCUCAUCCAGACCUCCCACUAACAUAGACACUUGGAUGCCAAACAGGCUAAUUCUGCUUUUCUACUUACAUGUGAAUAAACGCAUGUACACACCAACUCAAAUUCAUACAGACUUCAUGUAAGACCCCAGUCAAUUCCAUUUGAAGUACAGUUUAUGUGAUCUGAAGGGUGUCUGUGUCUGCUGCUCAGUUGACGGUAUUCAUACGAUUCACUGUCCCAAAGACCCCAAACAACUGGCUUAGUCAGCUUCCUGCGCUCUCUUCUCCAUCCACCAGUCCUCUACAAGUCCCUCUGAGGCUGGAGACAGAGUCAUUUUUCAUGUGGUUUUCUCAUUUCCUCUCCUCAGAGGAGGAGGGUGGACGGGACCUUAUGAUAAUGCUCAGUGGGACCCUGGGGUAUGCUCCCUCAGACUGCUUCAGGGAGGGAGAGAUCUUGUCAGAAGGUAUUUUCUUUUCAGGAGGAUGGGAUGAGGAAGCUUCCAAGAUCCUGGAGCUCCAGCAGUCAUUCCUCAAUCUAGUGAAGACCAUUCGGAGGGGUUGGACUGGAACAUGACUGGACAAUGGAUGACAGGACUCGGUGAAAGGCUGUGUGAAAUUCAGGAGAGCUCUGUUGCAAGGAGGCUGUUGUUCAACACUGGUCGCUUGAGCACGUGCCGAUUGUGUCUUGUGGAUUUUUUCUGGGAGCUGACUAUCUGAUUUUGGAGCACCAGUACCUGUUGUAUUUGAGGACUUUUUCAUUUCCCUACAAAGAAGUAAUCUGAACACACAUACAUUAAGGUUUUAAGGUCAUAAUCCCCACAUUAUCACAUUUGGACUAGACUCAAAUGUCAUAUGAUUGUUGUGUUAAUUUUAGAACCCCUUUAAAAAGAAAGCAUUGUGCUUUUAGUGUCGUUUACAAUUUAUAUUCUUUUUAUAAUAAAAAUACCAAGUGGUUUGUCGGAA